rnacentral:rRNA from 1 species
AGUGAACGCUGGCGGUAGGCCUAACACAUGCAAGUCGAACGGCAGCACAGUAAGAGCUUGCUCUUACGGGUGGCGAGUGGCGGACGGGUGAGGAAUACAUCGGAAUCUACUUUUUCGUGGGGGAUAACGUAGGGAAACUUACGCUAAUACCGCAUACGACCUACGGGUGAAAGCAGUGGAUCUUCGGACCUUGCGCGAUUGAAUGAGCCGAUGUCGGAUUAGCUAGUUGGCGUGGUAAAGGCCCACCAAGGCGACGAUCCGUAGCUGGUCUGAGAGGAUGAUCAGCCACACUGGAACUGAGACACGGUCCAGACUCCUACGGGAGGCAGCAGUGGGGAAUAUUGGACAAUGGGCGCAAGCCUGAUCCAGCCAUACCGCGUGGGUGAAGAAGGCCUUCGGGUUGUAAAGCCCUUUUAUUGGGAAAGAAAAGCAGCAGGUUAAUACCCCGCUGUUCUGACGGUACCCAAAGAAUAAGCACCGGCUAACUUCGUG